AGUGUUGGAUUGUUCACC
rnacentral:snRNA from 1 species